AUAAAAUUCAAAGAAUCACGUAUUUUAUUUAAAGGACAUGCAUCGCAUUAGACAUGUACGCCAACUGAGUACCUCCGUCCAAUCCAUUACCUAGCCGCUGGCAGAGACCCUGAAACACUUCCGCCCCAGUCCCCAAAGCUUGACUGGGUUCUCUUAGGUGCUCUUCCACUCGACCAGGCCCCAGCUCUUCUUCCAGGCAGGUAUCAUCCCCUCUGCCUAUUGCGCUGCAGCUCUCUACUUCCAGGCAGGUAUUGUUUUCUCUGCCAAUGGAGCUCUUUUUCCAGGCAGGUAUCCGGAACACUACUUAUAAUGUGAUUACAGCUAUUGCCGGAUCUAAGGCCUAGCUCUUUCGAUUUAUCCCAGGGUUACAGGGAUCCUGCAG